rnacentral:rRNA from 1 species
CGAGUAACCUGCCCUUAACUCUGGGAUAAGCCUGGGAAACUGGGUCUAAUACCGGAUAUGACUCCUCAUCGCAUGGUGGGGGGUGGAAAGCUUUAUUGUGGUUUUGGAUGGACUCGCGGCCUAUCAGCUUGUUGGUGGGGUGAUGGCCUACCAAGGCGACGACGGGUAGCCGGCCUGAGAGGGUGACCGGCCACACUGGGACUGAGACACGGCCCAGACUCCUACGGGAGGCAG